GAUCUACAGCACUUCAAGUAGAUGAGGAUUUCUAUGAGAAAAAUACAAGUCCAACUAUUGUAAUAGUAACUUCGACUAUUGUGAAGACUUUCAGGGGUGAAUACAACUUAUCAUCAACAACUGCAACAAGGGUGUACAUCAACCUUAAAAUUCCUGAAGUUGCCAGAGUUCUUGACAAGUUGAACAAUGUCACAGUAUCGGAAGUUAAAGAAUUGAAGAUUGAUCGACCACCGAUGAUUCCAGACGAGGAACUUGCCUUGCGAAAUAGAAAGACGGUUGCUGAAAUAAAAAAAAUGGAAUGGAAACCCGAGACAAAGGAAAUAUUAAUUACAUGUUUAUGCAAAGUCAAUAGAAUAGACAACAAGUUUGGAUGGUAUUAUAUUGGUUGUCUUACAUGCAAGACGAAGGUUAAGCUUAUAGGAGGAUCUUUUUGGUGUGAACGUUGUAAGGCGGAACCUAAAUUUUCUGUACCAAGGUAAACAAAAAAUAACAUUGUAUAUAAAUAUAUAUAGUUCCUACUACUAACCAAUUUGGAAAUGAAGCAGGUAUAGGAUACAAAUAGAAGUAUCAGAUACAACUGAUUCAACAACAUUCAUUGUAUUUGAUAAAGAGGGUGAACAACUUACAGGCAAGACUGCGAAAGAACUUGCAGACAUGCAAGAUGAGAAUUUGAAGGACAAUGUCUUACCAAGAGAAAUGAAAGCAAUAGUUUCCAAUGAAUAUAUAUUCCAAUUGCGACUCAACGACUAUAAUUUGAAAAGAGGAUUAGAGAAUUA